rnacentral:rRNA from 1 species
GAGCGAUCGCAGCAAUGCGGGAGCGGCAGACGGGUGAGGAACACGUGGGAACAUACCCUUUGGUUCGGAAUAACUCAGGGAAACUUGAGCUAAUACCGGAUAAGUCGGCAACGAGAAAGAUUCAUCGCCGAAGGAUUGGCCCGCGUCCGAUUAGCUAGUUGGUGUGGUAAUGGCGCACCAAGGCGACGAUCGGUAGCUGGUCUGAGAGGAUGAUCAGCCACAUUGGGACUGAGACACGGCCCAAACUCCUACGGGGGGCAGCAGUGGGGAAUAUUGGACAAUGGGCGCAAGCCUGAUCCAGCCAUGCCGCGUGAGUGAUGACGGCCCUAGGGUUGUAAAGCUCUUUCACCCACGACGAUAAUGACGGUAGUGGGGGAAGAAGCCCCGGCUAACUUCGUG